CUCCAGCCGCAGCGAUGUCUGGAGCUAUGGGGUCACCAUGUGGGAGGCCUUGUCCUACGGCCAGAAGCCCUACAAGAAGAUGAAAGGGCCGGAGGUCAUGGCCUUCAUCGAGCAGGGCAAGCGGAUGGAGUGCCCACCAGAGUGUCCACCCGAACUGUACGCACUCAUGAGCGACUGCUGGAUCUACAAGUGAGUGCCAGUGGGGAGGGGACCCGGCUGGGCUGACCCCUGGAAAGUCCUGGUGCCCGAUGAGUUGAUGUCAACAUAACUCUACCCAAUGUCAUCCCACCCAAAGCCCUUCACCCAGUUCAUGGCCUUUGCAGCUGCCCCCUACCCCCACACCCAGCUCUCCAACACACCAGGGUUUGCUGUCCUGCUCCAGUGUGCCACACCCUGCCACCCCACCUGUGGCCUGUGCCUCAGCAUCUAAAACCUCAGCCAUCACUCAACACAUGGACCCUGCAACACGCAAACGGUUCCAUACUCUGCUACUCAGCCUAUGACACUGACACUCAGGGCAUGAGAUGAUUCUCCAGUACCCAACACUCCAGUCCCCACCAGCCAGCACACAGCACCCAACUACCAGACAGGCGAGCACUGAGGUACCAAAUACUCAUCUAUUCCAGCCCCCACCUCUGCCUGGUUGAAGCCCAACCUU
rnacentral:sRNA from 1 species